CUGGCCCACACCGACAUUCAGAAGGCAAGCUGAAAGAAUCCAGUUCCAUAGACUAUAGACUAUGUCCAAGAGUGGCGGAUUCAUUCGAAUUGAUUGAGCGGGAAUAUGUACUUGUUUCUGGGUCCCUCAUGGACUCAUCUUCUUCAGCAGGUGCUUCUAGGCUUAGCAAUACACCAUUUAGAUCAAGUUGUUCCCUGCAAGCCUCUGGGAACAUAGACUCUAGAUUAAGUGAGCCGGUGGUUGUUGCUGGUCCUCCAACUGAUAGCAUAGUACUAAGGUUGGAAAGUCCCUCUUCUGCUCCAGGAGCUUCACAAGGAUCAACAGAUACAGUAGACCCUCUGGAGAAGCCAACUGAUGGCAUACCCAGAAUUGAGUCGCUGCAACAUUCUGCUUCUGCUAUCACAGAGUUGGUCAAUGAGAAGAUUGCCGCAGACAAGCAUCUGGAAGCAUUUUCAAUUGAGCUUGUCAUGCUUGCAAUAUGGAAGCAAGCAUUGCAUGUUUGUCAUACACAAGCGGCAUCGGCAAUUGAAGGAAGUCCAAACCAAAAAACUGCCAAAUUGAUGGAGAUUUUAAGGGACAGUCGAGUUAGGGCUGACAUUAAAAAGGACACUUGUAACACUUUGGGGCCAGAGAAUGUGUUAUCUCAUAUUCAAAGAGCAUUUCUGAAUGAAGUUGGGAAGGCAGAGGAACUUGCCAAACAUAUAGAGCCUGGAAAUGCCGAAGUACCAGAUGCCAUGGAGAUGAUAUUUCAAUCUGCACUAGACCUUGGCAGAAAGGGAGCUGUUGACGAGUACAUGGGUCGGACUGAAAAUGCAGUGGUGUUAUAUUCAAAAGCGGUACGCUUGUUAGCAUUUCUUCAAGUAGAAGCACCAUCACUCAUUCUAAAUCCUCCAUUCUCACUGACAAACUCGGAUCGCUAUCGGCUUAGGAGUUACAUUGAUGUUCUCAAUAAUAGGCAAAGUGUUUCAAGGUCUCAAAUCAUGACUGUGCUCAAGUGUGAGGAUCAGCACUGAUCCCCGUGAAGGCAAUAGAAUGAGUGAAGAGAAAACUGUUGAUAUAUAAUGAAUGAUUAAACAUAUCACAACUUAU
rnacentral:misc_RNA from 1 species